CCCCACUUCCCAGUCCUACAAGACACACAGAUUCAAUUAGUAUAAAAUAUGAUAGGCCUAUGAGGAAAUGAAAUCAAUAAUGUUCAACAUUGAUGCCUGUGAUAAUGUCAAGCUUCCACCCAUUGGCACCCCCUGUGGCAACCCUCUUUCUCAUUAAAAACACUUCCUUGCAUUAUUUGACCUUGACCCCUGUCCCACUGGCUCCCAUAUUAAAUUAUGCGCGUGCGCGAGCGUUGCAAAAUAAAUUUAAACAUACGUUAUUCAAUUAGUGCACCCACACUGCUCGCGCGCGCCAAUUACCGUCUGCGUUGCCAAGCGCUAAAAUAGAAGUCAGUUCGAUUUGUGACGCUGAACGCGAUGCAAAUCCUGACUCUCCCAUCUCCCCCUUGGUUUAUAGAAGCAGAUACUCACGUGCCAUCUCCUCAUUGGUUAUACCCACGCGGGUGAUUGAAAGAUUAAUUGAGUUCGGUCGGUCAUCGUGGUAACUAUGAAAGUCAGAUGCCAAUCGCCAUAUAAAGUCCAAAGAAGAAAAAGCCUGGAAGGAGAAGAGAUGACUAGAAACCAUUCGGUUGACCGGUUUAUGUGUGGAUUAAUUGUCAGAGUAGCAGACCUUGUGCAUUUCAGGUCAUGCCAAGGUCCUCUCCGACGCUGUGCAAGCCUCUCAUCACCUAGACUUUCUGAUGGGAAGAGAGCUAUUUUAAAUGUAACCUUUUAUUUAACUCGGCAAGUAAGUGAAGAACCGAUUCUUAUUUACAAUGUUGGCCUACCCCAGUCAAACCUGGACGACGCUGGGCCAAUUAUGCGCAGCCCUAUGGGACUCUCAAUCACAGCCGGAUGUGAUGCAGCUUGGAUUCGAAACAGGUACUGCAGUGAUGCCUCUUGCACUGAGGUGUGUGUGAACCAUAUCGUUCCUUAUAACUCUCCUCUGCCCCUCAGGUUUAUCACCAGUCGUAGCUGCAGUGUGUGAUUUAACGGUGACAGCGUUGGUUAAAUGUUGCUCCUUUGGCAACAGAUAAAUGUUUUACUGAUGCCCACAUCUCAAUGUCAUGAAACACCCCUCUCCUUUGACUAGCAUAGGAUGCAUUAUACUUGCCACCGACAGUGUGAGCUACAGUUAUCACACCAUUAAGACAUUAAAUUGAUUUAAACAUUUUAUACACCAUUUUUGACCCAUCUUCCCAAGCAGUUAUUGGUGCGAGAGGUUCUGAUGGCACAAUAUAUAAACUCUUGACCCCUGCCUCCCCCCGACCCUAAGCCUUCCCGCCGACCUGUACCUCUGCCUGCCCUGACCUGUCUUCUGCUUAGCCCCUGUUGGAACAUUAAACAGACUUUGACAAUCUGCAUCUGGGUCUUACUAUGAUUGCUGAUAGUUCCAGCAGAAGCAAUCCCAAUGCUGGAGUUAAGCACUGAUUUCUGGAAAGAUUCAAAAACUUGAUAUCACACCCAUAACCACAUAGAAACGCAACACUUUAAAAUAUAUCAGUCUCUCUACUAGAUGGUUCCAUCAGGUAUUAUUAGUUUCUUCAUAGAGGUCAAACUCAGUUCAGCCUGCAGUACACCAGCAGCAAGCAUGUAAUUGAUAUGAUAGCUUCCUUACUUGCCCUGUGAAGCUGACCUCUAAU
ensembl:lncRNA